rnacentral:rRNA from 1 species
GUCUCUUUGUAAAAUAUAAAUAGAGAGUCGGGCCUGCUCGGUGAAUAAGUUUUUAACAGCUGCGGUAUUUUAACUGUACUAAGGUAGCAUAAUAAUUUGCCUUAUAAUUUGAGGCUAGAAUGAAUGGUUUGACGAAGGUUAAUCUGUCUCCACCUUAUUUUUUAGAAGUUAAUUUUUAAAGUGAAAAAGCUUAAAUCUUUCAAAGGGACGAGAAGACCCUAAUGAGCUUAUAAUUUUAUUAUCAUUAUUUAAAAUAUUUAGGUGGUGGUAUAUAAAUUUUAAUUGGGGUGAUUAAGGAAUAAAUUGUGUAUAGUAACUUCCUUAAAUUAGGUAUUUGUAGAUAAAGUAACCAAUGUAAUAUUGCUUAUAGUAUAGUUACCAUAGGGAUAACAGCGUAAUUUGUUUAGAGAGUUCUUAUUGAAAAACGAGAUUGCGACCUCGAUGUUGGAUUAAAGUAACCCUAGGGUGCAGAAGCUUUAGUAGGUAAAUCUGUUCGAUUUUUAAUACUUUACA